AAGUCGUAACAAGGUUUCCGUAGGUGAACCUGCGGAAGGAUCAUCAAUGAAUUUUUGACUGAUUCAAAAAAAAAAAAAUCCUGGCGAAAAGGUGUCAAGCUUUUAAGUCACAUCGUUCAGGUCGUUCACAGUGUUUGCCGGAAAUUUGGCCUAAAAUGGUUUCCGGCCGUGUGAGAGAUCACAAGCACAAGCACUGUAAAUGGGCCAAAAACAUUUCGCGCCCGAGCUUUGCUUUUUACACAGGCUAAGCUCUCGGCAAAAACCAAAAAUUUCAGCCAAAAGUGGGCGGCACUUUGGGCCGAAGAUAUUAUUUUAUUACAAAUAAUAUUCAUCCAUCACAUAUACAUGUGAGAAAAAAACCGACCACCAAAAACAACUUUCGGCAACGGAUCUCUCGGCUCACC
rnacentral:misc_RNA from 1 species